GGUCAGAUGGCCGAGCGGUUAAGGCGCUGUGUUUAGGCAUUCGCUGCAAAGCGAGCAUGAACGACCGCAGUUCGAAAGAGCGUGGGUUCGAAUCCCACUCUGAUCA